rnacentral:tRNA from 1 species
GGGUCUAUAGUUCAGUGGUAGAAUUCUCGUCUCCAAAACGAGCGACCGAGGUUCAAAUCCUCGUGGGCCCGCAA